GACGAACGCUGGCGGCGUGCUUAACACAUGCAAGUCGAACGGAAAGGCCCUGCUUUUGUGGGGUGCUCGAGUGGCGAACGGGUGAGUAACACGUGAGUAACCUGCCCUUGACUUUGGGAUAACUUCAUGAAACUGGGGCUAAUACCGGAUAGGAGCUCCUGCUGCAUGGUGGGGGUUGGAAAGUUUCGGCGGUUGGGGAUGGACUCGCGGCUUAUCAGCUUGUUGGUGGGGUAGUGGCUUACCAAGGCUUUGACGGGUAGCCGGCCUGAGAGGGUGACCGGCCACAUUGGGACGGAGAUACGGCACAGACUACUACGGGAGGCAGCAGUGAGGAAUAUUGCACAAUGGGCGGAAGCCUGAUGCAGCAACGCCGCGUGCGGGAUGACGGCCUUCGGGUUGUAAACCGCUUUCGCCUGUGACGAAGCGUGAGUGACGGUAAUGGGUAAAGAAGCACCGGCUAACUACGUG
rnacentral:rRNA from 1 species